rnacentral:rRNA from 1 species
GACGUAGGGCGCGAGCGUUGUCCGGAUUUAUUGGGCGUAAAGAGCUCGUAGGCGGCUCAUCGCGUCUGCCGUGAAAACCUGUGGCUCAACUACAGGCUUGCGGUUGAUACGGGUGGGCUGGAGUUCGGUAGGGGAGACUGGAAUUCCUGGUGUAGCGGUGAAAUGCGCAGAUAUCAGGAGGAACACCGGUGGCGAAGGCGGGUCUCUGGGCCGAUACUGACGCUGAGGAGCGAAAGCGUGGGGAGCGAACAGG